rnacentral:rRNA from 1 species
AAAUUGAAGAGUUUGAUCAUGGCUCAGAUUGAACGCUGGCGGCAGGCCUAACACAUGCAAGUCGAACGGUAACAGGAAACAGCUUGCUGUUUCGCUGACGAGUGGCGGACGGGUGAGUAAUGUCUGGGAAACUGCCCGAUGGAGGGGGAUAACUACUGGAAACGGUAGCUAAUACCGCAUAACGUC